rnacentral:snRNA from 1 species
GUGCUCACCUCAGCAGCACAUAUACUAAAAUUGGACUGAUACACAGAAGAUUAGCAUGGCGCCCGCACAAGCAUAACACACAAAUUCAUGAAGCGUUCCAUGUUUUA